AGAGUUUGAUCCUGGCUCAGAUUGAACGCUGGCGGCGUGCCUAAUACAUGCAAGUCGAGCGAAUCUUUGGGAGCUUGCUCCUAAAGAUUAGCGGCGGACGGGUGAGUAACACGUGGGCAACCUGCCUGUAAGACUGGGAUAACUUCGGGAAACCGGAGCUAAUACCGGAUAAUCCUUUUCCUCACAUGAGGGGAAGCUGA
rnacentral:rRNA from 1 species